CUCUCGCCUGCAUUGCCCCUUUAGCCAGCUGCACCCCUGCGACCCUGAAACCAGCUGAGACAGAGAAAUUGAGAGGAGUGUGCAGAUAUGAAAGUAGAGGCACAGAAAGGUGAUAAGUCGUUUGCCUCAAAUCAGCUGGGAAGUGGAAGACCUGGGGUUCACAGACUCCAGCUGCAGGUUGUACAAAGACCUGCUUUUACAGGCAGUCACAAAGACCUGCCAGGUUGAAAGAGAAGGGAG